UCCGCCUUAGUAUAAUCGGCAGUACAGCAGGUUUUGGUCCUGUCAGUCUUGGUUCGAGUCCAGGGGGCGGAG
rnacentral:tRNA from 1 species